rnacentral:rRNA from 1 species
UACGUAGGGUGCAAGCGUUUGUCCGGAAUUAUUGGGCGUAAAGAGCUCGUAGGCGGUCUGUUGCGUCGGCUGUGAAAACCCGGGGCUCAACUCCGGGCCUGCAGCCGAUACGGGCAGACUAGAGUUCGGCAGGGGAGACUGGAAUUCCUGGUGUAGCGGUGAAAUGCGCAGAUAUCAGGAGGAACACCGGUGGCGAAGGCGGGUCUCUGGGCCGAUACUGACGCUGGAGGUGCGGAAAGCCGUGGGGAUCAAACAGG